GUCACCAAACUCUGAUAAUUUAUGGCCUCUCUGAGUCUUUCUGGUACUGAAUAAGUCAAAACUUUCAACAACGGAUCUCUUGGUUCUGGCAUCGAUGAAGAACGCAGCGAAAUGCGAUAAGUAAUGUGAAUUGGCAGAAUUCAGUGAAUCAUCGGUAUCUUUUGGAACGCACAUUGCGCCCGCCAGCAUUCUGGCGGGGCAUGCCUUGUUCGAGCGUCAUUUCAACCAUCAAGCCCCCGGGCUUGUGUUGGGGACCUUGCGGCUGCCGCAGGCCCUGAAAAGCAGUGGCGGGCUCGCUGUCGCACCGAGCGUAGUAGCAUACAUCUCGGCUCUGGUCGGCGCCGCGGGUUCCGGCCG
rnacentral:rRNA from 1 species